rnacentral:rRNA from 1 species
UACAGAGGGGGCAAGCGUUGUUCGGAAUUACUGGGCGUAAAGGGCGCGUAGGCGGCCUGCUAAGUCGAACGUGAAAUCCCUGGGCUCAACCCAGGAACUGCGUCCGAUACUGGUUGGCUUGAAUCCGGGAGAGGGUAGUGGAAUUCCCGGUGUAGUGGUGAAAUGCGUAGAUAUCGGGAGGAACACCAGUGGCGAAGGCGACUACCUGGCCUGUUCUUGACGCUGAGGCGCGAAAGCUAGGGGAGCAAACGGG